rnacentral:rRNA from 1 species
ACGCUCGACACCUACGGGAGGCAGCAGUGGGGAAUAUUGCACAAUGGGGGAAACCCUGAUGCAGCGACGCCGCGUGAAGGAUGAAGUAUUUCGGUAUGUAAACUUCUAUCAGCAGGGAAGAAAGUGACGGUACCUGACUAAGAAGCCCCGGCUAACUACGUGCCAACAGCCGCGGUAAUCUGAGCGGGCUGGCAAGGC